GUCAUGUCUUUCCUUAAGAAAGGAAAAUCGGGGCUCAAAAACGAAAAGAAAAGACGAUUAAAGAGAGAAAGGCAAAUGAGGGCAAGCAGUUGCUCACUCAGAUUUUUGAAAAGAAAGAGUUCUAGCUUUCAUUUGACCACUGGACAAAGAUCAAGUUGGAUCAUUCUGAAAAAUUUUUGGUCUGCCGGAGAAACCCAUCCUCCUUCUCAAUGGAAACGUCAUUCUGUUACCCCAGUUUUCUACCUGACACAGAAAGCAUAAUGUCUGUGAUGCAUGAACUGAAGGAAAAGAACUUAACAGACAACACCCUUCUCUCCAACUUGGAAUUUGCUGAGAGAUUCAUUAGAGACCAUCCUCUAAAACCGUACUCCAAAUUGCUAGUCAAAGGAAAUUACUUUUGUGUACAAAUUGGUCAGAAUCCCUCGCAAGUUUUUACUGUAACAUCAGAAAACAACCAAACCUAUGUCAAUGUCUUUAUAGGCAACCAGUGUGGUGAAAAAAUCAAAACGUCUUUAAUUGAGGCCAGGCACUUUUUCAACCACUCCUGCCAGGAUGAGAUUAAAUCCUGUUUUACACAGGCACAAGAAGCUGUUACUAAAGAGGUUCUGAUAAGAUUGCACAUCAAAUGCAACAGGUUCUCAGUCACAUAUGCCACUCAAUUUAGUGGUCCAUGUGCAACUGUGGAAACGAAAUGUCAGUUAAAGCUAGAGAACCUCACUGCUGAGGGUUUACUGAACAAAAAAGUCUGGCUGCAGAAAGAGAAGCCCACAUGUCAUGGUUUGAUAGCAUGUCUAGACCAUCUCAUAAAGCAAUACCUGACCACAAGCAGUACUAUAUGCCACUCCUAUAGAUUUCUCAUACAUGCAGACAAAGAAAUGAUCAGAAUCACUUCAUGUGUAGAAAAAGAAAGAGAAUGUGUAUUAAUACAUGAUCAUGAAGGGGUCUCAAUGUUUCCUCCAACAUUGCAGUAAAAGUUAUGACCGCACUCCAGAAAACUGCAACAUAGUCUGUUGAAAUAUCUUCAUAUGCAUUUUUAAAGACUAAAGAUUAAAUGAAAUCAUUAUAUUCACGUAUUCACAUAAAUUCAUUACGUAAAAAAUUACUUUACUUUAAAAUAUUACUUGAGAAAUAAAUCAUACAAUGGCAUUACUUGGAGUACAAUACAGUAUAUGUAAUGUUUUUUUGUUGUUAUUGUUGUUUUUGUGGCAAGCAGAUGUUUUUUAUAGAUUUACAUUUGCAUGAUUAACUUCAUCUGUGUUCACUGACAAAAAUGGUAGAUUCUGUGUUGACAUUCUUUAACAUCCUAAAAAUAGACAAUAUGUAAAUAACUUCAUUCUUUGUUAUUUGUAGUUCUUUAUUCUGCAUGUAUUUUGCCUUGGAUUUUAUGAAUUAAAGUGAUAACAGUCAGCUCAUCGGAUACUACUGUAUAUAUCAAUGUACAACAAACAGAGAAUUUCAAGCAUAAUAAAACUGCCUAAAACAUUUAAUGUA
ensembl:lncRNA